AUUGAACGCUGGCGGCAUGCCUUACACAUGCAAGUCGAACGGUAACAGGUCUUCGGACGCUGACGAGUGGCGAACGGGUGAGUAAUACAUCGGAACGUGCCCAGUCGUGGGGGAUAACUACUCGAAAGAGUAGCUAAUACCGCAUACGAUCUGAGGAUGAAAGCGGGGGACCUUCGGGCCUCGCGCGAUUGGAGCGGCCGAUGGCAGAUUAGGUAGUUGGUGGGAUAAAAGCUUACCAAGCCGACGAUCUGUAGCUGGUCUGAGAGGACGACCAGCCACACUGGGACUGAGACACGGCCCAGACUCCUACGGGAGGCAGCAGUGGGGAAUUUUGGACAAUGGGCGAAAGCCUGAUCCAGCAAUGCCGCGUGCAGGAUGAAGGCCUUCGGGUUGUAAACUGCUUUUGUACGGAACGAAAAAGCUUCUCCUAAUACGAGAGGCCCAUGACGGUACCGUAAGAAUAAGCACCGGCUAACUACG
rnacentral:rRNA from 2 species